AAUACUUCGUCUAAUCCGGGUCAGCAUCUAAAAAGGAAGCGAAAAUAAAACCAUCUUGCAGCGAAAACCAGGAUGAUAAAAAAAACAGAUGUCAGUGAGAAACAUAUCAGACAACAGGAGAUUUAUCUGGCAGUACCAGAUUCCCGGAGAUAAACAAGAAAAUCAGACGACUUAUUAACAAGAAAAACAUCUUUCCUGAGCUGCAUGACAUCACAGAUAUCAUCAUGAAAGUUAACAAGACUGAAAAUCUCUGUUUGUCUUCGGAGAGGGUGAAGGAUAUUUCAAACUCCACCUUUCAGGACGUGGGAUAUCUUCUCAAGGAACGACGCCGGCAGGAUUUUUUGAUCACCUUCAACUGCCGAUUGCCUGAUUGUGUGAAGUUAGCGUCUCAGCUCAUAAUAACUUCUCAAUCCUUUCCUCCCACCAUAAUUCUGGCC